GACGAACGCUGGCGGCGUGCCUAAUACAUGCAAGUUGAGCGCUGAAGGUUGGUACUUGUACCGACUGGUUGAGCAGCGAACGGGUGAGUAACGCGUGGGGAAUCUGCCUUUGAGCGGGGGACAACAUUUGGAAACGAAUGCUAAUACCGCAUAAAAACUUUAAACACAAGUUUUAAGUUUGAAAGAUGCAAUUGCAUCACUCAAAGAUGAUCCCGCGUUGUAUUAGCUAGUUGGUGAGGUAAAGGCUCACCAAGGCGAUGAUACAUAGCCGACCUGAGAGGGUGAUCGGCCACAUUGGGACUGAGACACGGCCCAAACUCCUACGGGAGGCAGCAGUAGGGAAUCUUCGGCAAUGGACGAAAGUCUGACCGAGCAACGCCGCGUGAGUGAAGAAGGUUUUCGGAUCGUAAAACUCUGUUGGUAGAGAAGAACGUUGGUGAGAGUGGAAAGCUCAUCAAGUGACGGUAACUACCCAGAAAGGGACGGCUAACUACGUG
rnacentral:rRNA from 1 species